UAGCCGAGUUGAGAGACUGAUCGGCCACAAUGGAACUGAGACACGGUCCAUACUCCUACGGGAGGCAGCAGUAGGGAAUCUUCCACAAUGGGCGCAAGCCUGAUGGAGCAACACCGCGUGAGUGAAGAAGGGUUUCGGCUCGUAAAGCUCUGUUGUUGGAGAAGAACGUGCGUGAGAGUAACUGUUCACGCAGUGACGGUAUCCAACCAGAAAGUCGCGGCUAACUACGUGCCAGCAGCCGCGGUAAUACGUAGGUGGCAAGCGUUAUCCGGAUUUAUUGGGCGUAAAGCGAGCGCAGGCGGUUGCUUAGGUCUGAUGUGAAAGCCUUCGGCUUAACCGAAGAAGUGCAUCGGAAACCGGGCGACUUGAGUGCAGAAGAGGACAGUGGAACUCCAUGUGUAGCGGUGGAAUGCGUAGAUAUAUGGAAGAACACCAGUGGCGAAGGCGGCUGUCUGGUCUGCAACUGACGCUGAGGCUCGAAAGCAUGGGUAGCGAACAGGAUUAGAUACCCUGGUAGUCCAUGCCGUAAACGAUGAGUGCUAGGUGUUGGAGGGUUUCCGCCCUUCA
rnacentral:rRNA from 1 species